UGGGGAAUUUUGGACAAUGGGGGCAACCCUGAUCCAGCAAUGCCGCGUGAGUGAAGAAGGCCUUCGGGUUGUAAAGCUCUUUUGUCAGGGAAGAAACGGUAGUAGCGAAUAACUAUUACUAAUGACGGUACCUGAAGAAUAAGCACCGGCUAACUACGUGCCAGCAGCCGCGGUAAUACGUAGGGUGCAAGCGUUAAUCGGAAUUACUGGGCGUAAAGCGUGCGCAGGCGGUUGUGUAAGUCAGAUGUGAAAUCCCCGGGCUCAACCUGGGAAUUGCAUUUGAGACUGCACGGCUAGAGUGUGUCAGAGGGGGGUAGAAUUCCACGUGUAGCAGUGAAAUGCGUAGAUAUGUGGAGGAAUACCGAUGGCGAAGGCAGCCCCCUGGGCUAACACUGACGCUCAUGCACGAAAGCGUGGGGAGCAAACAGGAUUAGAUACCCCCGUAGUCCCUGAGCGGGCUGGCAAGGCGCAU
rnacentral:rRNA from 1 species